UACGUAGGUCCCGAGCGUUGUCCGGAUUUAUUGGGCGUAAAGCGAGCGCAGGUGGUUUAUUAAGUCUGGUGUAAAAGGCAGUGGCUCAACCAUUGUAUGCGUUGGAAACUGGUAGACUUGAGUGCAGGAGAGGAGAGUGGAAUUCCAUGUGUAGCGGUGAAAUGCGUAGAUAUAUGGGGGAACACCGGUGGCGAAAGCGGCUCUCUGGCCUGUAACUGACACUGAGGCUCGAAAGCGUGGGGAGCAAACAGG
rnacentral:rRNA from 1 species